AUCCUUGUGUAGUUCAUAAGCAUGAUGACUGGGUGUUCAUGCAAAUGUGUGAGAUGUGCCUCCCUCAAACCUCAUUACGAUAUUGGCACAUCACCCAUCUGACG
ensembl:snoRNA